CCUACGGGUGGCUGCAGUGAGGAAUAUUGGUCAAUGGACGAGAGUCUGAACCAGCCAAGUAGCGUGAAGGAUGACUGCCCUAUGGGUUGUAAACUUCUUUUAUAUGGGAAUAAAAUGUUCCACGUGUGGGAUUUUGUAUGUACCAUAUGAAUAAGGAUCGGCUAACUCCGUGCCAGCAGCCGCGGUAAUACGGAGGAUCCGAGCGUUAUCCGGAUUUAUUGGGUUUAAAGGGAGCGUAGGUGGAUUGUUAAGUCAGUUGUGAAAGUUUGCGACUCAACCGUAAAAUUGCAGUUGAAACUGGCAGUCUUGAGUGCAGUAGAGGUGGGCGGAAUUCGUGGUGUAGCGGUGAAAUGCUUAGAUAUCACGAAGAACUCCGAUUGCGAAGGCAGUUCACUGGACUGCAACUGACACUGAGGCUCGAAAGUGUGGGUAUCAAACAGGAUUAGAUACCCGUGUAGUC
rnacentral:rRNA from 1 species